rnacentral:tRNA from 1 species
UUCUUGUAGUUUAUUAAAAACAAUUUAAUUUCAAUAAAUAAAAAGAAUUAAUUCUCAAGAAUUC